UACGUAGGGUGCGAGCGUUAAUCGGAAUUACUGGGCGUAAAGCGUGCGCAGGCGGUUUUGCAAGCCGGGUGUGAAAUCCCCGGGCUUAACCUGGGAAUGGCAUUUGGGACUGCAAGGCUGGAGUGCGGCAGAGGAGACUGGAAUUCCUGGUGUAGCAGUGAAAUGCGUAGAUAUCAGGAGGAACACCGGUGGCGAAGGCGGGUCUCUGGGCCGAUACUGACGCUGAGGAGCGAAAGCGUGGGGAGCGAACAGG
rnacentral:rRNA from 1 species